rnacentral:snRNA from 1 species
AGGUUUGCGCAGUGGCAGUACCGUAGCCAAUGAGGUUUAUCCGAGGUGUGAUUAUUGCUAAUUGGAAAAAAAAAAAAAAAGAUUUUGAGGGCACCUAGCUGGCUCAGUCAGUAGAGCAUGUGACUCUUGAUCUUGGGGUUGUGAGUGUGAGCCCCACAAUGGGUAUGGAAAUUACUUAAAAAAAUAAAAUCUU